AUCUUGGCCAAGAGUUCAUAUCGACGCCAAGGUUUGGCACCUCGAUGUCGGCUCAUCGCAUCCUGGAGCUGUAGCAGGUUCCAAGGGUUCGGCUGUUCGCCGAUUAAAGCGGUACGUGAGCUGGGUUUAGAACGUCGUGAGACAGUUCGGUCCUUAUCCGCUGUGGGCGUAGGAAACUUGAGGAGCGCUGUCCCUAGUACGAGAGGACCGGGAUGGCUCGAGCUCUCGUGUACCAGUUGUUCCGCCAGGGGCAUCGCUGGGUAGCGAUCUCGGGAUCGGAUAACCGCUGAAUGCAUCUAAGCGGGAAGCCGGCUCCAAGACGAGGUUUCCCUGGGGCUUCGGCCCCCUGAAGGGCCCUGCGAGACGAGCAGGUCGAUAGGCCGUAGGUGUAAGCACAGUAAUGUGUUCAGCCGAGCGGUACUAAUCGCCCGUGAGGCUUGGCCUC
rnacentral:rRNA from 1 species